rnacentral:lncRNA from 1 species
GCAAUGACGAAAGCAGUGAUGUAAGCAAUGAUGCAAGCAGUGACGUAAGCAAUGACGCAAGCAGUGGCGUAAGCAAUGACGCACUAACGAUGUCGGCACCAUUAGAUGGAAGACACGUGUACUCAACCAAUGAAUCAACGCCACAACUAUCAAGCCUCUUCGCCUAUAAAUACAGAAGCUAUCGAAACGAAGGAGGCAUCAGAAGUUCUCUGAAGCCCUCUCGCUCUAAAAAGUUCUCACUCUAAAAAUCUCUGCUCUCACCCCCUUUGUAAUACUCUCUACUUAUUGUAAGUUUCCAAAAAAUUUGUAAUCAAAAUCUCGAUAUUAAUAAACAAAAAGUUUAUUCAGUUUACGCUUUCAAAAUACAAAUUUCAGCGAAUCUAGUCCUUAGAUUCUAGCAGCCCGAAUCCAAGAAACUCUGACUAACCGUUAAUACCCUAAAAAGUUAAUACGGUUUGACAGUAGUAUCGGGGAAAACUUUAUUAUUAUAUAAUAUCUUUUAUAAAAACUGUACUUAUUCGUACCCUAAAAUAAUAAAUAGAGUAUAUCUAGUUAUAUAAAAUAAAAUAAAUACACAAGAAGCUCUAGAAGCAGUGACGUAAGCAAUGACGAAAGCAGUGACGCAAGCAAUGAUGCAAGCAGUGUUAUAAGCAAUGACGCAAGCAGUGACGUAAGCAAUGACGCAAUAACGAUGUCGGCACCAUUAGAUGGAAGACACGUGUACUCAACAAAUGAAUCAACGCCACAACUAUCAAGCCUAUUCGCCUAUAAAUACACAAGCUAUCAAAACGAAGGAGGCAUCAGAAGUUCUCGAAGCCCUCUCGCUCUAAAAAAUUCUCACUCUAAAAAUCUCUGCUCUCACCCCCUUUGUAAU